rnacentral:rRNA from 1 species
GACGAACGCUGGCGGCGUGCUUAACACAUGCAAGUCGAACGGAAAGGCCCCUUUGGGGGUACUCGAGUGGCGAACGGGUGAGUAACACGUGAGUAACCUGCCCUUGACUUCGGGAUAACUUCAGGAAACUGGGGCUAAUACCGGAUAGGAAUCCUUGCUGCAUGGUGGGGGUUGGAAAGCUUCGGCGGUUUUGGAUGGACUCGCGGCUUAUCAGCUUGUUGGUGGGGUAGUGGCUUACCAAGGCUUUGACGGGUAGCCGGCCUGAGAGGGCGACCGGCCACAUUGGGACUGAGAUACGGCCCAGACUCCUACGGGAGGCAGCAGUGGGGAAGAUUGCACAAUGGGCGGAAGCCUGAUGCAGCAACGCCGCGUGCGGGAGGACGGCCUUCGGGUUGUAAACCGCUUUCAGCAGGGGCGAAGCUUGUGGUGACGGUACCUGCAGAAGAAGCACCGGCUAACUACGUG